rnacentral:rRNA from 1 species
GAUGAACGCUGGCGGCGUGCCUAAUACAUGCAAGUCGAGCGAACAGACGAGGAGCUUGCUCCUCUGACGUUAGCGGCGGACGGGUGAGUAACACGUGGAUAACCUACCUAUAAGACUGGGGUAACUUCGGGAAACCGGAGCUAAUACCGGAUAAUAUAUUGAACCGCAUGGUUCAAUAGUGAAAGACGGUUUUGCUGUCACUUAUAGAUGGAUCCGCGCCGCAUUAGCUAGUUGGUAAGGUAACGGCUUACCAAGGCGACGAUGCGUAGCCGACCUGAGAGGGUGAUCGGCCACACUGGACCUGAGACACGGUCCAGACUCCUACGGGAGGCAGCAGUAGGGAAUCUUCCGCAAUGGGCGAAAGCCUGACGGAGCAACGCCGCGUGAGUGAUGAAGGUCUUCGGAUCGUAAAACUCUGUUAUUAGGGAAGAACAAAUGUGUAAGUAACUAUGCACGUCUUGACGGUACCUAAUCAGAAAGCCACGGCUAACUACGUG